rnacentral:rRNA from 1 species
GACGAACGCUGGCGGCGUGCUUAACACAUGCAAGUCGAACGACGUGGCGAACGGGUGAGUAAUACGUGGGGAACCUGCCCUCCUUUUUGGGAUAAGCCAUGGAAACGGGGUCUAAUACCCAAUAAAGGGGGAUGGGCUCGCGGCCUAUCAGCUUGUUGGUGGGGUGAGGGCCUACCAAGGCGGUGACGGGUAGCCGGCCUGAGAGGGUGACCGGCCACAAUGGGACUGAGAGACGGACCAGACGCGUACGGGAGGCAGCAGUGGGGAAUAUGGCACAAGGGGGGAAACCCUGAUGCAGCAACGCCGCGGGCGGGAGGACGGCCUUCGGGGUGUAAACCGCUUUCAGCCAUGACGCGGUAGUGGCAGAAGAAGCACCGGCUAACUACGUGCCAGCCGCCGCGGUAAUUC